rnacentral:sRNA from 1 species
UGAAUAGUUAUAAUGUCAAGCAUAAUGC